rnacentral:lncRNA from 1 species
UCAGGCACAGUUUAGCAGUGAUUGUGCACAGUAUUAUUUAUUUGGUGAAGUGCUUUCAGUACAGAACCAUCUUCAGCACUAUAAAGUAUAGGAUCAAACAUAACAACAAUAUUCCAUUAAAUUUAUAUGUCGUCAUCUCUAGAGAGCAAUGAUUUAAUAUUAAAUGUGCAUCACUAAAUAAAUAAUAUUGUGUGUAAUUGCUGCUGAACUGUGCGUGAAUUUAAAAUAUUAAAUUGUAUUUUAAGUGAUGCUAUAUAAUAGUUAUAUUUUAACUCAUUGAAAAUUUAUGCAAUGAAAAAUUUGAUGCAGUUCUCAUUUUUCAGCAAUUGAUAUGCUUACUGAUGAGAAAAAUUUAGAUGAUGACCUGAUUAUGGGAGAUAUUGCCAAUAAUUGCAUACAAAUUAAUAUCAAAAAUAAGUGAUGGCUAUUUUUUAUAAAUAUUUUCUAUAAAUGUGUGGUAAACAACUGGAAAAUAUACAAUAUUGAUAAUAAUAACUAAAUGUCCCAAAUAAAAAUAGUCAUCAUUAGACUUAUUGUUCAUCAGAUCUGAGGGUAUCAUAAAUAAAGAAAUGGGAAAGAGAAUAGAGCUGAAAAUUAACAUUGAAGUGAAGAAGUAGAAGAGAGAUAUUCCAAUCACUGAAAAUUUUUCAGAAAGUGUUCCUAAUGGUGUCAGAUUAGACAAUAUUCAAUUAUUAAUUAUGAAUUGAUGUAACUAUAUAUAUACAUGCAUGUAUAUACCUAUGUAAACAAACAAUGUAUGUCAUGUUUACAUUUCUACAAUUUCAAUUAGAUCACAUGUAAAUUGUAUUAUUUCAUAAAAUUAAAUAAAAUAAGAUUUAUUAGUUUGUAACAUAUUAUUAUGCUAAUGUCCUAAAGGUGCAUCUGUGUAUUCCAUCUGAUCUUGUUACAUUCAUAUUGGAAAUUUUUAUAAAAUUUUUUUUCAUAUUGUUCAGUAUAUAAUAAAAAAUUCUCAAAAAAAAAAAUGUUUUUUAAUAUUUUGGAUUUAAUGGGUCAAUAGUUGAUGUAAUCUGAUGGUCUUGCAGGGGAUUGAUGCUUUACCCAUUCUGAUUUAGUAGAAUAUUUCAAUUAAAUAUUAUAAAUUUUACUUGCAUGAAAACUCUUGUCACCAUGUUAUUGAAACACAAUCAUGUUAUUUCUGAUUUGAUUUUUUUUUACAGUUUUUAUUUUAUCAUCAUAAAAACAAUGAUUUCAGUACUGAUAUUUGUUUUUAUUCUAAUUUUAAUGUUCAGUUGUAGUAGUUAAAUCUCUUUAAAGUGAUUUCUUAUUUCAGGAUUUUGUUUAGAUUGAUAAUGUAAAAGUUAAUAUAUUACCUUAUAUCAAGUUAUAAAUUAAUUAAUUUUAUUAGAACCAUGUUUAUGGACAUCAGUAACAAUUUUGGCAUUUUUCCAUAUAAUGUCAGUCUUUAUUGUAUUUUGCCAAAUAAAGCAGUGCCAUCUCUGUUCAACUUAGGGCUGCAUAAUGCAAGGCAGAUGUUUCUUUCAGCCCAUACCUGGUCUUUUAUGUAGUAUUCAAUGAUGCUAUUACAUAUGUUCCUUAAUUUAUGUAUUUUAUAAAUUCCAUUCCUUUCUUAUUCUGGUAUGUUUUCUUUGUUGUUGGAUAACUACUUAAAACACAUUGCAGUUUCUGGUUUCUGCAGCUUGUAAAUUGCUGAACUACUUAUGUACGUCCUUAAGUGCAAAGUAUGGAGGAAUAAAACAAAUAGUAUCUUACAUCCUCACUUUUAUGUUCAAACUUAUCCUUGUCAAAAAAAAUUAUUCUUAAUUCUGAAAGCUAUCUUAUAAACUUUGGAUAUCAUACACACAUGUACAAUAUAUACCUUUUUGAUGAUUUUAAUUCUUUUUCUAUGUCUUUGAAUAUUCAAUAGGCUUUCUAAAUUAAUGCACAAACUCUGGAAUUGUUAUGCUUUUCUCCUUCAAAGGAUUUAUUAUAAAUGAUGGAAAAAAUGCAAAAUCAGUUUCCUAUAAUUUAUAAAUAAUCAUCAGUAUCUUUAUCAACUCAUUGAUCCAAAAAAUGAACCUUUUUUGUCCAACUGCUGUAAUCUUGCUUUGAACCUGUUAAGCAUUGUCAUUAAUUCUCCUAAUAUAAAAAUAAGCUGUUUGCUGUCUGAUAUCAUAAAAAUGGUGUCUACAUAUGCAAUUUAAUACAGCCAGAGAUUUUCAACAAGGCUUUUCCUCAACCUUUUAUACUAUGGACAUCCCAUCUGAGAAUCUUUAGUUUGUAUAUAAUAUUUUUAAUUCUUCUUUUUAUUAAUGUGUUGGGAAAUGCUGCUCAGAAAUACUUGUGGUGAAGUAAGCUAGUGUAUAAAUGAAGUAAUGAAAAACUGGAAAAUUUUUUAUAAGAUGAUAAAAUUUGCUGAUUCAAUUAUGCUAUAUUUCCAUUGUACUUUUAUGCCAGCUGCCAUAUUUAUUCCUAACAAAGAUUAUUAUAUGCUGGUUUUUUUAUUUAUAUUUGUUAAAAAUAUGUAAAUAUGCAUGACUGUAUAUAAAUUAAAUAUUUUUAUAGGAAUUUAAAUACACACAGUCCUUGACUUAUGAGGAGUUCAAACUCUACCAACAUAAGUCAGAAAUCAAAAAUGCAUAAAAUUUAUAGAUUUUUUUCACUAGUAAUAUUUACUAGGAUAUUAUACAUUAGCUUAAUAAGUAUAACAGACACAAAACUACAAAAAUCAAACACAAAAAAGGACAAUUUCUAUAUAUCAUGCUAUUGGGUUCAGGACCCAAAUCCUGGAAUUGCAUUGACCAGUCACAGAAUAUUUCAAUGUCAUUAUCUUUGUAAAUAUCAGUAGUCA